AGUACAAAAAUAGGAAUAAAGCUCUUGCUCAACGCCGCAGAGAAAGAAGGCCGCGCACUGGAAUGGCAGGAGCGGCCAGACUGACAAGAGGUCCUGUUGACCAAUACGGAUUUGCCAGAGGGGGAGACUGAGGCAGCAUUGGAGAAUAUAAAGAGCGAUCUGCUGAACAUCUACUCAGGCAUGCCAUCUACUGUCUUUUUUGGAGGAAGGAAUGAGUGGGGCAGAGAGAGCAGAACCAAUGAUGGAAAAGACAUGCAUCAUCCUGCGGAAAUACCUUAGCAAAGUGCCUGCUGCAGCGAUGUCUGAGAUCAAACAGGAAUCCGUGAUGUUCUGGCCUGCUAUGAUCCAGACUCUGACAAGGCUGCCUGCAUCCUGCUGCUCCUAAUGUUGUAAUGUAAGAGCCGAAAGAGAGUUUGAUGCUUCAAGUUGCUCCAUGUGCCACUGCUGUGGACGUCAAUACUGCAGAACUCCCCGGAACCCCCUGCUUGAUCAUUCAAGGUAAUGUUACUUUGAUCUAGUUUCGACAUUUCUUCAUUCUCCCUAUUUUUACAUGGAGUAGCUGCUUCGUCUUCAGCAGCUGUUACAUAUUCAACCUUGAGUAUCCUACCGCUGGAUCUUAGACGCUGGAGUUCAUUCAAAGGUAUUUUAUAAAGAUCACAUUUAAUCUUGUAAUUCA